rnacentral:lncRNA from 1 species
CACAGUUCGUCUGUUAAAGGCAUUAAAACUGUUAGAAGAAUCUCUGCACGUCUCAUUAGCAGUGAAACAAGCCCUCUUCUUCCUCCUCAUCAAAGUCCUUUAACUGAAAUUUGAAACCGUGGAUCAAAACCAUCC